CAAGAUUCUUUUUGAGGACAUCAACCACCAGAAGAAAAUAUUAAAGGAAAAAGGAAUGACAGUUGAUGGUAGACAUUACACCGUUGAAUUUCUGGUUGUACUGGACUACAAGACCUUGGUACUUCUUUUGGUGAAGAAGAUGAAUGCUUCAUUCAUGUUAGGUGGUAGAGGUGUCAGUGUCGAGUUCUGUUUCAUCUGCAAUGCUAUCAGGGGUUGCAAAUGCCAUGAUGUUGCUCCAGAUGAGACAUGCCUGGAUUGCCUCAGAAGCAAAUGCAACAUGGGAAGAUCAACUGGUAUACGAGAUGAUCUGGUUUUUCUUUUGGACGAAGAGCUUUGCAACAUUCAACUUUGUGCUCUCCAUAUGGAGAUGCGCAACACUGAACAGUUGUUGGCAUCCAUUGGUCUUCUUGCAUACAGGGUAGAUUCCCUAGCAGAGGCCAAUGCUGCCUUGAAAAACUAUGGCCCAGAGUCAUUUCAUGGCGAUCGCAUCUCAGUAAAGAAGAAGUCAGAUCAACAGUCUGCUAUUACAAAGCAGAAUAUCCAUGUCAGUUCAAUGUCUGGUCCAACAGAUCGGGAAAUCCUUCAACACCUUGAAGAAAUUGUAGAACUUGCCCUACCACUGGAUAAAUUCAAGAAGCCGUAUGAAGAUGUGAACACGGCAAAAAAUUUGAUCCUUAACAGAGUUACAUUUUACCAGGCUCGUGUUGAUGUUAGUAAGAAGCAACUAUUAUUUUUAUACUUGCAACUUGAUUUAACAUCAUGUAGUCAAGAUCAUUGGUAAUGUGUAUUCAUUGAGUUCAUACAGCGUCCAGACGAUCCGUCGGAGUGCGCUUUAGGAAUCAAAUACCUCUUACUUUUCAGGAGCUUUAAGCAAGGGCACUUUUGUAAGAGAUUUUGGUACACAUACUGAGAUAAUUGAUUUGGAAGGCUCAGAUAUUAAAGCUGACAUGGAGCCUCGCCUUGUUCAGUGGCAAGGCAAGUUGGAUGAGCUACAUGUCUUUUUCAAGAAGUUGUGCAAGUCAC